CAUUUCCUACUCUUUCUGUAAAACCCAUUCUCUCUACUGUUUCCUCCAUAGCAGACAAUGGUUUCUUGAACCCCAUGCUUGUUUGCCCCAUCUACACACUAAAACCCAUCUUCUCCCUCAUGUCAAUCAACUGUCAUCACCGUACUACCCUCAAUUCACUCUUUCCGCUCAUUUCUUCACAGUAAGUUACCAAUAGCUAGGGUGGCUAAAUUUCAACACAAAACUAAAGGGAAGUCUGAAAUUAUCUGUUUGUCUGUGAACAAUUGAUGGAAGCAUACCGUAGAAGGGACAUUGGUCAUCAGAAUUUAUUAUUGGAGUUGGUGCUUAGGAAGCUGUUGUGCGAGCCAGGGAGGAAGAAGUAAAGGAAAGGAGCAAGUCAAGUUGAUGUGCCGACUCCCGGUGUUGUACCGUCGGUAAAAUUCUUGCAAAACAAUGUCCUGAAUGAUGCUCUUGUGGUAGAUGACUAUGGUAUUUGCUUGCUGAAAUUAUUUCCUUGCUUUACAUCAUCCACUCCCUGCAAAUAUUGGUGAGAAUAAAGAGAGCAUGGUCAGACAGAGGUAUUGCGAAAAGUAAAAAUGUGGAAGGAAAUUCAAGUGCGGGGAAUGAGUAUCGUUGGACUUACAUGGGCCGAAGUGUUAGCCCAAGUGCUACUCACGUCUGAAGCAAAAAUAGUAAACCAAAAGAAAACCUCUUGAACUCCUAGCACAAGUGUUCGUGGUGCACAUCCAAACAGAUCCAAUUUUAUUCAGUAAAAUGCACACGUACCCAUCUCCCCUUUCCUCUAAUUUCCAUUUCCUACUCUUUCUGUAAAACCCAUUCUCUUUACUGUUUCCUCCAUAGAAGACAACGGUUUCUUGAACCCCAUGCUUGUUUGCCCCAUCUACACACUAAAACCCAUCAUCUCCCUCAUGUCAAUCAACUGUCAUCACUGUACUACCCUCAAUUCACUCUUUCCACUCCUUUCUUCACAGUAAGCUACCAAUAGCUAGGGUGGCUAAAUUUCAACACAAAACUGAAGGAAAGUCUGAAAUUAUCUGUUUGUCUGUGAACAAUUGAUGGAAGCAUACCGUAGAAGGGACAGUGGUCAUCAUAAUUUAUUAUUGGAGUUGGUGAGUUGUGUAUUCAGACCCUAAUUUUCUGUUUGUACUAUACUGAAAAUAGGGAUUGCAAUUGGGAAAAUUCUUGUAUAAAUAUGGAGGUUGUUGUGCUUCAAAGGCAAGCCCGGGUUAGCCGGUGCAAUCUGCUGUUGUUAGGCUUAGGUUUUAUUUCAAUUUUACUUAUGUUCUAAAAAUCUCUGCUAGGGCAGAGAUGAAGCCCCUUUAUUAAUUAGAAUUUCUCUUGUUUGAUUUCA